AGGGGGACCGUAAACCUGGACCUGGACAUUCCUGCAGCCUGAGCUGGGCCAGCUGCUGUUCCACGGGACAGGCAGUCUAAUCAGACAGCCCUACCUACUACUCCACUACACCACUACAGUCCAGUCCCCUGCGGGAGAGAGGCAGUGGGGCCCAGGGAUCUUUCAGCAUUUGCUAUGUGGCAGCUGUUACUUUGUUUUCUUCUCUUGGCUUGAAAGGCUGGGAACUCAGAGCCAACGGAACAGCAACAACAACAAUACCGAGUUUCCACAGAGUCCCUGUGGACCCAGCACCUGGCCAGUGCUCAAGAGCGCCCUAGCACCAAUGGUUUCAUCACCCUUUAAAAGAAGUUCUGGACGGAUACCAUCUAAAACUGUGGAUUUCUCAUGGAAAGUCUCAGCGAUGACUUUCGUCCCUUGAUCCACUUGAAGUCCUGUCUCUGAGGGGCACAGAAGCCAACCAGUGACGGCAGAGAGGAGUGGCAGGAACCAGGAGGUUGACUGGGGAAGGGGUGCUGAGGAGGAUGGGGGUGGGGGUGGGGCAGGGAGAUAGGAAUGUUCUGUGUUGUGAGAGAGGUAUGGGUUACAGAGGCAAAAACAGUGGCCAAGAUAUGUGUCAAUCAUAACUCAGUCCCAGUUAAACACCCAGUUUAAAGAGCUGCUCGAUGCUUCCGUUUGCCUACCUGUAAGGUGGAAACGGCAGCACCAUACUCUCUAAGGCAGUGCUGGGCGAUUGAACGAUGAGGCCGUGCAUGCUCCCUGAGGCUGUGCUAUGCAGCUAACCGUUGUGGGUGGUGGCUGUUAUCCUUACAAUUUCUAUGCAAAAGGCAGUCUUCACUGUCUAAGCCCUUGUUCCUCCCGCCUUGAUUUUUCGGGGUAUCUCCUCCCUGCCAUAGUGUAAUUCCACCUGCCUCCAAAUCUGUAUCUCUUCUUCCAUUGCAAAGUAGCAUGACCCAGCCUCAAGUCUGUCUCUCUCUGUAAUGGCUUUGACCCCAACUACCCAAAUUCCCCAAAUACUCUUCUAAGAGGGACCACAGUCUUCGCUGAGCUGGCCCUAAGACUUCCUUCCACUCAGUCUCACUGAUGUUAAUAUGGCUAUUAUUAUUAUUAUUAUCAUCAUUAUCACCAUCUAAAAAUAAAUCCUGUACUUGUUGCCACACUUGACGAGUGGGGCCUUUGAAUGUCCAUCCAGUUGCGUGUAUCAGGCCCUAACAGGUAGGUCUGAGAGGCUUCACAAAAUCUGCCCUUUAGCGGGGAGGCAGCUAGGAUCUCCCUGAGUAGCUCACGCUGACCUAGACUUGAGAUCACCCUGCAGAGAUCUCCGGAGUUCUGUGUGCCACCGUACCCAACUCAUCUGUCCUUUGUAAAGUAUGGAUACUUGUAAACUGAAGUUGCAUGUAAAUGCAGUCAUAGGCACAAAUUUAUUUAUUUGGUCUUCAAGACAGAGUCUCUCUGAGUAGCCUUGGUUGUCUUGGAACUCGCUCUAUAGCCAAGGCUGGUCUCAAACUCACAGAGAUGAGCCUGUCUCAGCCUACAGAGUGGUUUAAAGGCUUGUACCACCACAAAUCUUAAACACACAAUUUGAUCGUUUGUUUGUCUGCAGUGCUACGGAUGUAAUGCAGGGCCUUGUGGAUGUCAGGGAAAUGCUCUACUACAGAGCUAUCCCUCUGGCCCUAAUUUGAUUAGUUUUGAUGCCAGAGUAAGCCAUAUUCUAAUCAAAACAGAGGGUAGAUCCUCCCCUAGAUAUGUUUCUGGUGCCUUGUAGUAUGCUGACAGAAUUGUAGCCCAGAUUCCUGGGGAAAACAUAUUGAUGAGCUCUGUAGCCAUUUAAAUUAACUAAAAUUUAUAGCAAUCAAGGCGGGAGUCCUGAAGGUCCCUGAGGUAACUUGUUUUCCGAACUAUAUACAAAAUAUCUAUUUAUAAGCCUGAUUCUACAACUAAACUGCUAGCUCUUUAGAAAUCUCUUUCUAUCUGUGUCAUUCUACAGAGCUAGUCUACCUUUCUCUUGAGAUCCUCCAAACCCAAGUGGUCCUGUCCUGCCAGCUGCUUCUCUGUGGUUCCUGCAAGCCCAGAGAGAGCCCAUCUCUUACCUGCAGCUCCUCUGUAAAGGUUCUUCAACGCCAAGAGCAAGGGAGAGAGCUUCAGAGUGCAUGAGAGCAAGAGAGGGCAGGAAGGGAGGGAGAGAGGGAAGGGGAGGGGAGGGAAGGGGGAGAGAGAGAGGGAAAGGGGAAGGGCGGAGAGGGGGAGAAAUAAAGAGGAAGAGAGAGAACUCUAUUAAAGGUCCAAUUGAUUAUAAAAGAAGUUUCUAGUUCCUCCCCUCAUCUUGGCAGGCUGAACCAUAUCCCCACCUUGAUGGGAGAUGGGGGUGACUCUAAACCAAGUGGUGGGGUGGCUCAAAGCCACCCAGAUGACGCUGCCUCAGGUCAAAGAGCAAAGACCACAAGACCUCUCCCAAGCAACUUGCCUUAAAAUAGGCAGGGACUUUCAAUUCUUUAGCAUUCUUAUCUAUGGAGGCUUUUAGAAGCACCCCCAAAUGGCAUCUCUUCAGGACACACCUAACUGCAUCUGACAAACGCAGUAUCUGUUGAGGUUUUUAUAGUUUGGUAACAUCUAGGUCUUCUAUGUGCAAUAAUCCAUUGUCCUGUCACAGAUCUCCAGUGCUUGUUGAUCUCCCUGGUACUCGUACUCAGACAUGGUCAAUCUCCAGCUAUCAGUGUGCCAUCACUGAGUCAGCGCUGGGCAGAGAGACUCACAAUGAGUCUUGAUGAACCAGGACAACCGGGACCAUAACUGUACCCCACUCAAGCCCAUGCCCACUGCCCUGUGUCCUCCCAAGGGAGCUACCAUUUCCUGUCAUCCUAGGAUACUUUUGCAUCCUUGAGUUCCCCAUCCUGAAUGGAAUGGGGAUGCAUACCUGGGGACCUACACUAGCCAUUGGGACCCAUGGAGAAUUCGUUUCAGGGUUCCUUGUACUGAAAUCGGUGGACGUUCCAGUCCUUCACACAAUUGACAAACACCUGUACAGAACCUUCACACAUCCUCCUGGGGACUGGCAGUCAUCUCUAGAUUAGUUAACAGUAUGAGGUCACAGAAAUUGUCUAGGGAAUGAUGACAAAAGGUUCCACACAGUUCAGUACAGACACAUAAUACUUGGGUUUUGCUUCCAUUUUGAAAACAGGGUAUUGUUUUGUAGCCAAGUUGGCCUUGGACAGGUGAUCUUCUUUCUUCAGCUUCUCAAACACUGGGGUUAUGGGUGUGUACUACUAUGCUUGGCUCCUGACACAACUUUUUAAAAAGAUGAGGGUUUUUUUUGCCGGCCACUCCUGGCUCUGCUGUCCAGUGAUCUGCAGCCGCACACUAGGACAGACCAGUCCAAUCAGAGGGUUGCCUGUAACAUCUCUAAUUGCUCCAGUGUCACAGCAACUCUGCCCAACAUAGGUGACAGUAUCUGGCAGGAGUCUUCUCUCAGUUACCUCUCAUGGAAGGGGAGGAGGGAGAAGAGGGGAGCAAGAUAAGCAUGGGAGGGUGUGAGCCCACAGUGAGAGAAGGAACCCACACCUGUGAUCAUCGAGUCCGGUCAGUUCACAUCACGGCAUAAUCAGAUCUUAAGAGCCGCACCUCUCAAUAUCCUCCGAUGGCAAUUAAAGUUUCAAGAUGAGUUUGGAGGAGGCAAACUUUCAAAUCCUGGCAUCCCUUCGAAGAAGAAUCCACUGGGUGACUUUGGUUUCAGAACCAAUCAGCUGGAGUCACUGCUGCUCUCCAAAUACUGAUGGUUAGUAUUCACUGAGCCCUCACCAGAUACUGGGCUCUGUCUGUCUCCAGAACCCAAUGAUGGCAUCCUGUGUCAGCCUCACAGUCGUGGUAUGAAAUUUUAAUAAUUAAAAUUAAGUAGCUAAGAAAAAUUAGGUACGGAAAGGCUAAGUAACUUCCUAAGGCCACACGAUUAGUGGCAGAAGUUGGGCUUGAAGACAGGCAGUUUGGCUCAUUAGUUUAACCACAGAGGUAUACCCCACCCCCUAUACAAAUUCUGUAUAAAGUUGACUAGUCCCAUAGAUAUUAACCGCUAAUUGUUAUAUAUA
rnacentral:lncRNA from 1 species